rnacentral:tRNA from 1 species
AUUUAAAUAGCUUAUAAUAUAAGAGCAUAAUAUUGAAGAUAUUAAGGAGAUAGGAGUAUCUUUAAAUA